rnacentral:misc_RNA from 1 species
ACACAAAAACAAUCCCAUAUCCACCCCUUUUUAUAACGAACUCUGGUUUUACCAAAAUACCAUUGUCUCUUCUUUAUCCAACUUUAUUUUUACCCCAUCUUCUUAUAACCAAAAUGCAAUAGACUGAUAUUUAUUUAUCUUUAUAAUCUUUAUAAAUGAUAUUUAAAA